CUCCAUUAGGAAAUUAAAACUGGGUGCUGAUAAAACUGAGUAAUUCAAUGUGCCAGUCUGUUCCUUGUGCUUGUAGGGACCAUCUGCAGUUCUGCAAAACAAGUGUGGGUUGUGGACAGGUGCUCUUUGAAUGCAGGCUCAUUAUCAUUUAAGCUCCGCAGAGGCAAAUCCCAUAGAAGCCCUAGAAGAGCAGCAAGCAGGUGUGCUGGCGCCAUCUCCAGAGAACUCUGAUGCCUCCCUCCUGAGAGGCCCAGUAACAGGACCACCAGGAUGACUGGCAUAAGGGACAGGAGAGGAUGUUCUAGUACCUGACUACGAUUCCCUCAGGCAAAAGAUACCUGACAAUGGAAACCUGCAACAAUCAAAUCACAUCGAAGGAAAGGUAAUUAACAUAGGCACGUAUCAUCAACCAAUGCAGCCCAAGGAAAAACACUCUAACUGAAGAUGUCCUUCAUGAAGAACGGGAAACAAGUGCCUGAUGGCGCUUUGACCUAACUACUUCUUUGUCCACUCCACCCACUCAACAGACUCUCCUUGUAAAAAUUACACUUAUGAGUGUUCAGUGACAUCAGACCACAAAUGUGACUUCAAAUGGGGUUUUGAUACACAUUUUCCACUGUGAUAAUUUCUCAUGCUGAACAGAAGUGAUCCAGAAUAUCAUGCCUGUAGAAUUCUAUGAUUUAGAUUGUUUAUUCGUUAGUACCUGUAUUAAACACUGCUGUGCAUGGCUAAAAGUAAAUUUGUUAUUUUUUUUUUAAAUUUAAUUCUACUGUCAAGCUCAAUUACAUAUUUGGUUGUAGUAAGUCAGUGUUUCUCAAAGUGUGAUUUAUGGGCCAGAUAUGUCAAAAUUUACAUAGGGUAUCAUUUUAAAUGCAAAAUUUGGGGCCCUAGACUUCUUCAAUUAGGGUCUCUGAUGUGAGGCUCAGGAGUCUGCCUUUUAAUAAAAACCCCAGGUUAUUCUUAUGUACACUAAAAUUUGAGCACCAGUGUAAUAGGAUUUUGUGGUGGUUGUCGUUUUUCUUUUUUUGAUUAGGGCUUAUAGUCACCAUGAACAGAGCCUCACAACUAAUUUAUUUCACAGCUCGAAGGGACCUUGGAGAUUAUUGCAUUCAAUAGCUACCUGAUUAAAUGAAGAUGUGUUUGAAGUUCCAAAAAUAUUUGAUUAUUUCAAUGAGAGGCCAGCCUUAGAGACUAUUUCUGACAUAAGUAAAAACAAUAAUAACUGUCAUUUAUAAGGGAUCAGAAAUAUGCUUGGCAAGUAACAUGACAUUUUUACCAAUAAAAAUGACCCUCAGACAUAGAAAGGUAAUUUAGGAAACAUAGUUUAUAAAUAGGUGGACCAUUUCUACUAGUGCUUACUAACUCCAGGUGGCCUUUAGAACAACAAUAACUAAACACACGUGGAGCAGCUGCAGUGAUAAUAAGGUCACCCAAAACAUUUGACUUGACUUUUUAAAAACAUUUUCUGAUUGAUUCUUAAAAAUGGACAGAUUUUGAAAUUCUUGAACCCAGUGUGUGUAUAUAGAUAGACUUUAACUACCACCAAAUUGGAAUAAUAAGUUAGUACAUUACAAGUAUGAGAUUAGACCUGUUAAAAGGAAUGAUUCUUAUUUUAUAUGAUUUGAUCAUAUAAAUUUCAAAACUGGUUUACCAAUCUGAGAAGUAGUCUCAGAUUCUGUUAUUUGCAGAGUCCUAAAAACCUGAAUAAUGAUAAAUAAUCCAAUCCAUUAAUUGGCAAAACUAUUCUUUGGAGUAAUCACAGUGACUCUGGAACUCCCAAUUUGUUCUUUUUGCAGUAAAAAUGAGUUUCCUGGGGUGGGGGAGGGGAUUAAUACUGUUAUUCUUUUUUUAAAAUUUUUAUUCUAUUUAUUUAUUUAUUUUAGUGUGAGGCCCUUAUUUGGCACUUACCAUAAAUUUUACUACUGAAGCUUCUACUUAUUCUCUCCUUCUAAGUCCAGUGUUGGCAAACUACACUAGGACCUGCCAGUUAAGAAUGUUUUUUACAUUUAAAAAGUGAUUAAAAAAUAAUAUGUUGUAUCAUGUAAAAAUUAUAUGAAAUUCAAAUUUUAAUGUCCAUGAAUAAAGCUUUCUUGGAACACAGCCAUAAUUAUUUGUUUACCUAUUGUCUAUGGAUGCUUUCAAGUUACAAUUGCAGAGUUGAGCAAUUGCUUGCCACAGAGACCAUAUGUCCCACAAAGUCUAAAUUAUUUACUAUUUGGCCCUUUAUAGAAAAUGUUUGAGACCCUCCCCCCUCUCCCUGCUUCCCUUCUACAGUAGUGGUUUUCAAAGUCUUUUUCCCAAAUCUGGAAUAUCAAUCAGCAUCACUAGGAAAUUUCUUGCUAGAAACUUUGGCCUCACCCUCUAUAUUCAGAAUCAGAAAUUAUGGAGGAAGGCAGUUGUGGAAGGUGGACUCAGCAAUUGGUGCUUUACUAAGCUUUUCAGCUGAGUCUGAUGCAUGCUCCAGCUUGAGAACCACUAUCACCUGGAGGGCUUGUUUUAGGAAUGCAAUAAGCAAAAAUGAUUUGAAAAUAUAGGUUAAUACGCAUAUGGAAGCAUUAUGAUUUAUUUAGCUUUUGUAUUGCAUUUGCAAGAAAAACAUACAAAAAUAAAGAAGAAAAUUACGAGCACUGGUGACUACCCUUUGUUUCCAGAGAGAAAGUUUUUGCUAGAGAAAAAAAAAUUGCAUGUUUUACUUUAGAGGUUACUUUAAUUUUAAUAGGCUUUAUGAAAUUACUUCAAAGUAGCUUUGAUAAAUCAGAAAAAUGACAUGGCAACCUUUUUUUGGAAGCUGAAUCUCAGUGGUACUUAAGAAGGCUUAUCACUUGGUUUAUACAGAAGAAAAUAUAGUAUGUUUCAAUUAUUUAUAUACAAAGUUAAAAACCCAACCUGUAAUUAUAUGUGGAAAUAAAAUUGACUUCAG
rnacentral:lncRNA from 10 species